rnacentral:lncRNA from 1 species
AGUUUCUGGCUGCGGCUGCACACCACCUGAAGGCUCAGCUGGGCCGGAUGUCCAAAAUGGCCGAGUCGCACAGUGAGCAGUGGAUUCUGACUGUCACCUGGAGCCUCAGUGGGGGCUCUUCACUGGAGCACUCACAUAUGGCAUCUCCACAUGGCUUGGGAUUCUCACAGCCUGACAGCUAAAUUCCAGGAGGGAACAUUAUCAAGAGAUCCAGGCAUCUUACAAGCCCAGCCUCAGAAGUCCUAGAAUGUUACUUCCAUCACAAUCCAUUGGUUAAGCAAGUCACUAAGCAGAACCUGAGAAACACGCUCAUCAAGUCCAGGAAAUAAAUAGAGAUACAAUGAUUUUGAUCUGCAGAAGUCUCAAGAGAAUAAACAGAAAAAUUCCUAAAAUUAGGCCCUGGAAAUGGGGGAUCUCCUGCCUUGACAGCUCAUCAGUACGUGUGAAAAGCCAACAAGAGUGGAUAUGAUAGGAACUGCAAUCACACAGCACUUUGGAGAAUGUGAAGAUUGGUGCUCACAGCAGAAGUUAACACACUGAUGCUGUGAUCACUGUUCAGUAGGUGGAAUGGUCCUUAGUGAUCCUUGAAGAGUAGCUGCAACUGGAAGACACAGAAUGGAGAGGGUGGAUCAUGCAAAUGAAAAGAUGGGCUCCAACAUUCAGCGGAAGGAAUUUAUGGUUGGUUCCCCCGUUUUUUUGUUGGCGGUGGUGGUUUAUUUUCAUUCCCCAUGCCCGGUCCUUCUGAUGGCACUCACUGAUUUGGCUCUAGGGCACAAGUCUAUGUUGCAUGCAGUCCUGGUGUAACAAUCAAUUGAGGCAUUUCCUGGGCGAGGAGCUGGGACACGGGCCAAGCCAAUCAGACUCUGGUUCCCCCAGGACGCUGAGUCAUAGUGGAGCCAUGCCAAGACGGAAACAGCUGACCUGCUGUGCUGCUGCCAUGGCUCCCUGAGGAGUGUCCCUCAGUUCCUAAGAGGGGACUGUCUGCACGCUGGCUCUUAUGGGUUGAUUUUGCACUUUUUCUUUGAUUCUGAGAGCUACCCACAUCCUCUCCAAUUCUUGCUCCAGUCAACCAGACACAGUUUCUAUUGCUUGCGGUGGAAGACAUGCCCAUGCAGAAGGCGUCAAGGCUCUUGGGAAGAUGGGGAGUGGCAUGUGUUCUCAUGGUGUUCACAGCUGCACAUGGGAAACACCUCAUUGCCUUCGCACAACAAACCCAAGAGGGAGGGGGUUCCUUCCCCAAUUCUGCAAAUGGAAAAACUGAGGCUCAGAGGGGAAAUUGAUCUCUCAGUGUCACAGCCAAUGAAUGACAGAGGGAAAGUUGUGGUCCAGGGCUGAGUCCGGGUUCCACAGUGUGUAGAUGAAUUUCUUCAACCCCUUCAUCAUGUGACAAGAGCCACAAGGUCUCCAGGCCUCCUGGACAUGACAGGUGUUUGCUCACAAACUGAAACUUUCUCUGCUGGGUCACACCCUCCUCGCCCAUCCCUACUCUUGGUGCAGGGCAUGAGCUGGACCCUGGAAGACCAAUGGGUAUUCAACUUUCAGAAAGCCUUGGCGAGGUCUAGUGAUGAAAUAAUUUUGUCAUUUGGAAUGCUGACAAAAAAAAUUUGAAUUUUUCGGCCA